rnacentral:rRNA from 1 species
ACUCGAGUGGCGAACGGGUGAGUAACACGUGGGUGAUCUGCCCUGCACUUCGGGAUAAGCUUGGGAAACUGGGUCUAAUACCGGAUAGGAGCCAUCUUUAGUGUGGUGGUUGGAAAGUUUUUCGGUGUAGGAUGAGCUCGCGGCCUAUCGGCUUGUUGGUGGGGCAAUGGCCUACCAAGGCGGCGACGGGUAGCCGGCCUGAGAGGGUGUACGGCCACAUUGGGACUGAGAUACGGCCCAG